AAGUCACUGAGUUGGCAGCAGUGGGUUGAAUAUUAUUACUGAAAACAUGCAGAAAUGACCUGGUGGGCCGGUCUGUCACAAGACGCAGCAGAUGAGGCAGUGGCUGAUUUCUAAGCUCUGUUCAGACUGAGAGGAGAAUUUGGACAGGAGUGACAAAGUGACUGAGGCGAUAUGCUUUUCUUAACCUGCAGAAGCUCAGCAAAGGGAGGCAAGUUUACAAGCAGCAAGCAGAUAGAGCAUCAUCCUGCGGAUCAAAUCAGAAGAUGGCGGCGAGGUUUAGGAAGGGGGUGUGAAGACACGGGGGUAAACUGUUUACGACAGCAGCUGAUGACUGGAUUCCUAUUUCACAUUCAACAUUUACAAGGUGGACCUCUGCAGCCAGAAGAUGGCCAAACACUCCAGGUAAUGGCAUGCUGCUGCUGAAAAUGACAUGUUGUCAGAGCGAGGAAGCAGGCAUGCCUCCCAUUUCAAUUUCCCAUCUUGAGUGCAUUCUUCCACAAACACACAGGUGGUUUUUUAUGAUCAAAACUUUGGGAUGACAAAGACGAAUAGGCCCAUAUCAACACUCGGUAUCACAGAGCAAAAUCUAACCACAAACAAAAAGUCCUGAAAGAAAAUUUCAGAACCGCACUUGCAUUUGCAAUAAACGUUUGCCUCAACCCUG